GCGCCGAGGGUUCAUAUAACAGCAGGAAAAGCUCAGCACGUAUUUCAACAGGUUGAAAUUACUUAACGUUAAGUUAUAGAAACAUUUACGUAACAACCAGAAGACCUAUUUGGAAAUGUAGAACAAAAGCUACAUAAAGGCAGAGUGGGACACGAUGGCCUCCAGGCAAAAACAGAACCAAGCCCUGGGGGAGGUUUCACCAUGAGGAAGGAGCCCCGACUUUGUUGUUUCUAAUGGUGGCAUCGGAGCACUCUGCUUCUGAUGUAUCGCAGUCUGAGUCGCCAAACUGUAGCGGAUUCUAGGAGAAAAAUGAGACAGAAACAUCAGCACAUAUCCAGGAUAAGGGCAACAUCUUUACUAUAUUGAUUUUAUAAUCUGAGCGUGGACUUUUGGGGUGGAAAAUAAAGCCUAACAUAUUUAGCAAA